GAGAGAGGGAGAGGAGAGAGAGAGCGAAGGGGUCUGAGAGUGAGAAGAGGAGGAGCAGAAAAUAGAGAGCAAAACUGGAGAAAUACUCCACAAUUUUUCACAAAAAACCACCUGAUUUCGUCAGCAUUUACGAAUUGGCCCCAAACUUUUCCCGCUUUCGCUCUCAAAUUGAUCUAAAUGAGCCGUUUAGGGUUUAAGUCCGUGGUCUUCCACGGCGACCUGUGUUUGGGAGAACUGGAUGCUAUUCCGGUGAAGGACCAGAAGUUCCAGUUCCCGAACAAUGAGAUUCGAAUCAACCACAUAUCGCAACAAAGUGAACGAUGCCCUCCUCUCUCAAUUCUCCAAACGAUUUCGUCAGUUUCGGUUCGAUGCAAGCUCGAAUCGACCUCCCCUGUUGAACAGAACCAUUUGAUCAAUCUUCACGCCUGCUGCUUCUACGAGUUCAAGACUGCGGUUGUAGUGGUUGGUGGUGAAGAGAUUCACUUGGUGGCAAUGCCGAGUAAGCAGAAGAAGUUUCCAUGCUUUUGGUGCUAUGCGGUUCCUGUAGGUCUGUACAGUGCCUCACUACGAAUGCUGAAUCUAAGGUGUCUCUCAAUUGUGUUUGAUCUCGACGAGACGCUGAUUGUUGCCAACACCAUGAAGUCUUUUGAUGAUAGAAUUGAGGCUUUACGAAGCUGGAUUGCACGCGAGAGUGACAUGGUGAGAAUAGCCGGAAUGUCUGCUGAAAUGAAGCGGUACAUGGACGAUCGGUGGCUGUUGAAGCAGUACAUAGAUAAUGAUUGUGUGGUGGAUAAUGGAAAGGUGUACAAGGUUCAACAGGAGGAUGUUCCUCCGCUGUCUGAUAACCACGAGAAAAUUGUUCGGCCUAUCAUUAGAUUGCCAGAGAAGAACAUUGUGCUCACUCGCAUCAAUCCCGAGAUUCGUGAUACCAGCGUGCUUGUGAGGUUACGACCUGCGUGGGAAGAUUUGAGAAGUUAUUUAACUGCAAAAGGACGCAAGCGGUUUGAAGUUUAUGUCUGUACCAUGGCUGAAAGGGAUUAUGCCUUAGAAAUGUGGAGGCUUCUUGAUCCAGAGUCACACCUAAUAGGUUCAAAGCAACUUCUGGACCGUGUUGUCUGUGUCAAAACAGGCUCCAGGAAAUCAUUACUCAAUGUCUUUCAACAUGGAGUGUGCCAUCCAAAGAUGGCAAUGGUAAUUGAUGACCGUUCAAAGGUUUGGGAAGAUAAGGAUCAACCUCGAGUUCAUGUAGUUCCAGCAUUCACUCCUUAUUAUGCUCCUCAAGCAGAGACAGCAAGUCCCGUUCCCGUCCUCUGUGUUGCAAGAAAUGUUGCAUGCAAUGUCAGAGGUUGUUUUUUCAAAGAGUUUGAUGAGAUUUUACUGCGAAGAAUUUCUGAAGUUUUUUAUGAAGAUGAGGUGGUAAAUUUACCUCCUGCUCCUGAUGUGAGCAAUUACUUGAUGUCUGAGGAUGCUGGUUUGGCAACCAAUGGAAAUGUUAAUGCUCCUGUUAGUGAAGGAAUGAAUGGCGGUGAAGUUGCAAGGAGAAUAAACCAAUCUGAUGACAAGUUUGGUACAGACUUAGUGGCUCAUUCUCUGAAAAAUCAUGCUGAGGCAAGAUCUGACAACUCUCAGGCACCUGUUGCAAUUCUUCCCAAUGUCGUUGGUGCAGCAUCUUCGAGGCCGGUCAUGCCUUCUCAGAAACCUGGUUUGCUUGGACCUCCUGUUAGACGAGACAGCUUUUCUGAUCGUGACUAUGAAAUGAAGAGAGGACUCCUUGGUACAAAUCCUGGUCUAGAUAUGAGAAAUCAAACCUCUGCUGAACUCCUGCAUCUCUCUAGGGUACCUGCACAAAUGCCAGCAUCCUCAAUACAUGCACAAGGGGGAUGGUUGGUGGAUGACGACAACAAUAGAGGAAUUCCGAGUAAUCGACCUUCUGGGUUUGUUCAACCGCCUGACAUCAUAAAAUCUGAAAAGCUAGUUCACCAGAAUCCUUUUAGUCCUGCUACACCAAGUUCUACUCCCAGUGGUUUGCUCUCACACAAAUCUGAUGUGAAAAGGGAAGAGGUAUGCUCUGGACAAGAUUUACAAAAACAAAAUCUUCCUCCUCCAAGUCAGCUAUCAGAGGCUGGUGCAUCCCAGAAUCAGGCAUCUUCUUUUAAUAGAGAAUCUCAAUUAGAAACUGCAAAAGUGAACCUCCUGCCGUCCCCUUUAUCUAUUGGAGUGCUGCAGGAAAUUGGACGAAGAUGCAGCUCAAAGGUUGAGUUCAGGUCUGUUGUAAGCACCAGUAAUGAUUUGCAGUUCUCUGUUGAGGUUCUCUUCACUGGAGAGAAGAUUGGUUUUGGAAUGGGUAGGACGAGGAAGGACGCUCAACAACAGGCUGCUGAGAAUGCUCUUCACAGCUUGGCUGAUAAAUAUGUAGCGUAUCUCGCACCUCGUUCUGGAGCUGUGGACAGAGAUAUUGAUAAAGUCUCGGUCGGGAAUGAAAAUGGAUUUGUAUUGGACAUCGUCGGUCCUGAAUUGACUGAGCUACUAAGGGAAGAUGGAAUGCCUAAAGAAAGCACUUCUGAGGUGGGGAUUAUUGAUCAUGCUUUCAGUAGUUGAUUUGAUUUUCUAUGUUCAAAAACAUAGGUGAUGCUUGGAUAAAGGGUAUGUGGGCAAGACAUUUCCAGAUGAGGGGCAGUGGUUUUUUACAAGGAAAACCACUCCUAUUUUUGAAUUUUGCAUCUCACGAAGAUGUGAUGGCUAAAACACUGAAAGCGGAGUGAGCUGGCUUCAUGUGUGCUACUGCUGCCUUAGAGGCUCCAUUAAUUCCUGUUUUAAAAGGCUGCUGAAGUUGAACCUGGAAGUACUUAUAUUACGGUGAGUCAGCAAGUUCAAAAGCGUGCAGGUUCUCCAAGAUUGCUACAGUCUUUUCCAAAUAAACGAUUAAAGGAAGAAAUAUUGCAUGGGUCACAAAGUUUAUCAUCUUCACGGCCGCAGAAGAAUGUACCUUCAGACAAACCUUGACACUAAAGUUGUAUUAAUCAAGGCUUCCACUAGUGCAUUCUUCCCCUUCCAUUGAGAAAUGAAACGAUGGUCUCGGCGAGGUCCAUUGGCCCCAUCUCUCCCCAGCAUCCAGAUUUUGUAACUAGUCAGUAGUUUUGGGAAACCAAAGGAACGAAAAAGGAAAAGGAGAUGGGUCGGCAUUUACGGCAAUGGAUAUUACCAAGGUGAAUAUGUGUAAUUUUGUUGGUGGAAAGGUGG